GUGAACAAUGAUGCAUAUAUGUCAACUAUGGGUGUUGGCUCGAACAAUUCACAUUGGUCUCAAACCAAUGACAUGCAUUUCGAAGACCAUGAGUUCGAGGUGGACGAGGAUGGUGAGGGCAUUGUCAGCGCACUGAAAGGAAGAGGAGGCAACUACACCAAUGACGAAGAUGUUGUGCUAUGCAAAACUUGGUUGGAUGUGUCGAGGGAUCCAUCCGUUGGAGGUGAUCAAAGUACAGAUGCUUAUUGGCUCCGGAUGAAAGAACACUUUGAUCUUCGCAACAUGAGUGGAAUUGACCGCUCCGCACGAUCGCUUCGCUCCCGGUGGUCGAUCAUCAAUAGGGAUUGUCAACAAUGGGCGGCCGCACAAAAAGCGGUUGACAAGUUGAACCCAAGUGGCACCAAUGAUGACGAUAGGGUAAGUGUCAUUUCAUCAUUCCUCAUGUUCAUCAUGCUUGUUGUUGGUGUUUCUUGUGCUAACUUGUUUUGUUUUCAUGUAGUUAAAUAUUGCACAAAAUUUGUUCAAAGGAGAGGAGAAGAGGACCAAGAAUGGGAAGAUCAAGAAAGGAAGGCCAUUUACCUUGCCUCAUUGCUAUGA
rnacentral:rRNA from 1 species